AGUUUUUGGAAAAAAUGGAUCCAGGACCUUCAAAUUGGAGCUCAAAGUUUCUUGUUUCACAGCUCUUGGCACAACUGCAGCAACUUAGUUUUGCUUCUUCGUGAAGAUUUGCAUGUUUUCCUGGAGAUUUCCACUCUUAUUUUGAUUUCACAAGCAUUUGCAGGUAACUAUAGCUCCUUCCUUUGGUUAAUUUAAUGCCUUGCAUGAAGUUUUAAGCGAUCAUAUGAAUGUUCAUGGGUUUAAACUUGAGAUCUCAUUUCUUCUCAUUGAUUUAUGAUGCUAAGGGGUUUGUUUGGUGUUUAAAUGAGUCCACAAGACUAUAAGGAACAGCUAUGUUGAGAUCCGGCCUGUAAUACUGGUGAAAUCAUCCUCCGGCGAAGUUCCAGUCACUUUGGUGGAAAUUUUUCCAACUUUUGGCGGGUUGUGUUCUUGGUCCCGUCGGAAACUGGUUUCUUGUUAUUUCUUGCAAAUCUUGUUUGUCUUUCUUGUUUGAUCUUUCAAGAUGAUUUGGGUGCUGUUGGGUCAUAUUUUUGGUUCAAGACAUCGGUUGGAAUUCAUUUGUUAAGUUGGGUUUGUGGUUGGCUUUUAGCAUUUAGUUUAGAUAAGUUUCCAUUUGGGUUUGUUCAUUUUUUUUAAUGAAAAUGGCCAGCAUUUUUCUUUUGGGCUAUGGUGGUCCGUUCCAAGUGAUAAAAGAGAAUAAUGGUCCAAUUUGUUUUUCUCCACAUUUUGCCCAAAUUAGAAACGAAUUCUUUACAAUUUGGUCCCUAACUUUUUGAGUAAUUUUAUUGUAACCCUAAAAUUUUAGAUUUCUUUCACAUAAGUCCUUAAUUUGCAUUUUGGUCCAUGAACUUUAUUUUUACUUAUUUUUUACGCCUGAUCUUUUUGAGAAUUAUAAUUUGACUCCAAAAACUUUCUAAUUUUUUGCAAUUUAGUCCCUUUUUUUAUGUCUCAAUUAUAAUUAUUUCUCUUCUUUAAUUGCUAACUGUGUUUUAUUUAAAAGCACUUAAUUUGUAAAUUUUGGUUGAUUUAUG
rnacentral:lncRNA from 1 species